GCCGAGCUGCGUAACACCAGCUUGUGACCCAAGUGGGGGCACCAAGGAACAUGGCUUUG
rnacentral:SRP_RNA from 1 species